rnacentral:rRNA from 1 species
AGUGAACGCUGGCGGUAGGCCUAACACAUGCAAGUCGAACGGCAGCACAGUAAGAGCUUGCUCUUACGGGUGGCGAGUGGCGGACGGGUGAGGAAUACAUCGGAAUCUACUUUUUCGUGGGGGAUAACGUAGGGAAACUUACGCUAAUACCGCAUACGACCUACGGGUGAAAGCAGGGGAUCUUCGGACCUUGCGCGAUUGAAUGAGCCGAUGUCGGAUUAGCUAGUUGGCGGGGUAAAGGCCCACCAAGGCGACGAUCCGUAGCUGGUCUGAGAGGAUGAACCGCACCACGGGAACUGAGACCCGGUCCGGCCUCCGGCGGGGGGAACAGGGGGGGAAUAGUGAAGAAGGGGCGCAAGCUGAACCCACCCAUCCCGGGGGGGGAAAGAGGGCCUUGGGUUGGAAAACCCUUUUUGUGGGAAAAGAAAAGCAGAAGGUUACUCCCCCGUUGUUCUGAGGGAACCAAAAAAAUAACCCCGGCCUAACUUGGUC